rnacentral:tRNA from 1 species
GGUCGAGUAGCUCAGUUGGAUAGAGCAACAGCCUUCUAAGCUGUGGGUCGUGGGUUCGAACCCCGCCUCGAUCACAA